rnacentral:misc_RNA from 1 species
GGAAGUAGAAGUCGUAACAAGGUCUCCGUUGGUGAACCAGCGGAGGGAUCAUUACUGGAAUCGCAAGAUCCCACAACCCUGUGAACCUACCGAAACGUUGCCUCGGCGGGUGCCCGGCCUCUGCGCCGGGCGCUGCGCCCGCCGGCGGCCCCCUACUCUGUCUCUGCAGCGUGGCAUCUCAGAGUCCCAGAAAACAAGUCAAAACUUUCAACAACGGAUCUCUUGGCUCUA